rnacentral:rRNA from 1 species
UACGUAGGGAGCGAGCGUUGUCCGGAAUUACUGGGUGUAAAGGGAGCGUAGACGGUGAUGCAAGUCAGAAGUGAAAGCCCGGGGCUCAACUGCGGGACUGCUUUUGAAACUGCCAGGCUAGAGUGUCGGAGAGGUAAGUGGAAUUCCUAGUGUAGCGGUGAAAUGCGUAGAUAUAUGGAAGAACACCAGUGGCGAAAGCGGCUCUCUGGUCUGUAACUGACGCUGAGGUUCGAAAGCGUGGGUAGCAAACAGG